rnacentral:snRNA from 1 species
AUCACUUCUCAGCCUUUCGGCUAAGAUCAAGUGUAGUAUCUGUUCUUAUCAGUUCAAUAAAGUCUCCAGUAUUAUUUCUCACUUUAUUAUUUCUGGAGAGCAACGAUA